rnacentral:tRNA from 11 species
CUGCGCUGGUGGGCAGUCUGGUCUUCACCCUUUUGGGGGUGAGUUGGCUGUUGUUGGUU